CGGGUUCGCCCUCGUUCCGUAUAUGAGUUCUUUCGAAUUUCUCGUAUCGUUUUCGUGGAUUAGCAUCUCGAGGUCCUUUGAUGGGCAUAAAGAAAUCGUCUUGGUAGCAACCGCCCAAACCAAUAGAACAAGGGUUAGCUCUGCAGCUGGUCCACAGUAAGUAGGGUCCAUUACCGGCCGGCUCCUAAGCUAGAAAAGACCCUAACGGAGUAAUCCCUUAUCUCGGAUCGGAGAUGCUAACGGGGCAGGAAUCGAAGUGGGGGACCUCUCUACCGCCUGUGUCUAUCUCCUGUCAAGUAUGCUCCCCAGACAUAGACUACGUACAGGGUAGUACUCUUGGAUAUAAGAUCACCGCG